ACGCUUCUUUGAGAAGCGCCAGGACAUGGCGCCUUUCAAAGAGGCGCCAGAUAAAGUCUUGGCGCCUCUUUGAGAGGCGCCAGCUUGACCCUGGCGCCUCUUUGAGAGGCGCCAGCCUGACCG